rnacentral:rRNA from 1 species
AGCUCCAAUAGCGUAUAUUAAAGUUGUUGCAGUUAAAAAGCUCGUAGUUGAAGUUCUGAUUGCUCAGGCCUUCAGCCUAAGGCGGGGGUUCUGACAGUCAUCCGCUUGCAAGCAUAUGUUCGGCCUUAACAAGCUGGCUAUGUGAGUAAGCAUUUUACCUUGAGAAAAACAGAGUGUUCCAGGCAGGUUUGUCCGGGAUGCAUUAGCAUGGAAUAAUAGAACAUGACUGAAGUCUAUUUAUUGGUUUAAGGCUUUAGUAAUGAUUAAUAGGAACAGUCGGGGGCAUUCGUACUCAGCAGUCAGAGGUGAAAUUCUAAGAUUUGCUGAAGACGAACUAAUGCGAAAGCAUUUGCCAAGGAUGUUUUCA